rnacentral:misc_RNA from 1 species
GACAAGUUGUUUUUACAAGGUAAAGUGAUAGUCUUGUUUGAAUUUUGCAACUACAAUUUUGAUAAUGUGAUGCAGUCUUUGCCUUUCUAUCAGAGCGUGAUGUGUUGGUUUUCUUGUAGUUUGGAAAUUUUGCUUAUAAUUAUUUGUGUGAAUUGAAGGCUAACCAACUUUUUAAUCUUUUUGUCAGCAAUACUUUUGCUUUCCUUUGUUUUUAUGUAUUUAUUUGUUUUUAUUCUUUUCAUUUCAAGCAGUAACUUCUGUAUAUCUUCCCCACUCUGUCUUUGGCUGUAUUGAAUGUUGCCGGCCCUGGGCAAGCUUUAUCUUUUCCCUUUUAUUGCUAUACGUGUGCCUUUGAGAUGUGAUUUAUUAAGAUCUCUAGAAAAUAUUCAGACCUGAAAAAAAAAAAAAAAG